rnacentral:rRNA from 1 species
AGCGAACGCUGGCGGCAGGCCUAACACAUGCAAGUCGAACGAACUCUUCGGAGUUAGUGGCGGACGGGUGAGUAACACGUGGGAACGUGCCUUUAGGUUCGGAAUAACUCAGGGAAACUUGUGCUAAUACCGAAUGUGCCCUUCGGGGGAAAGAUUUAUCGCCUUUAGAGCGGCCCGCGUCUGAUUAGCUAGUUGGUUGGGGUAAUGGCCCACCAAGGCGACGGUCAGUAGCUGGUCUGAGAGGAUGACCCGCCACAUUGGGACUGAGACACGGCCCAAACACCUACGGGAGGCAGCAGUGGGGAAUCUUGAGCAAUGGGCGAAAGCCUGACGCAGCCAUGCCGCGUGUAUGAUGAAGGUCUUAGGAUUGUAAAAUACUUUCACCGGUGAAGAUAAUGACUGUAGCCGGAGAAGAAGCCCCGGCUAACUUCGUGCCAGCAGCCGCGGUAACAC